GGCGCGCCGCCGGAAAGGAGAGGGCGGCUUCCGGGAUCCGGCUGGCGGACUCUCUGUCUGGCCUUGGCCGCAGUAGGCUCUUUCUGUGAGUCUCCGCUGCUACUUCUUGGCUCUGGGAGGCCCAGGUGGCUCUGCAGCAGCCUCGGCCACCCUGUGACCUGCGGGUAUUGGGACAUUCCUCGCUGACUCCGGGACAUCCGGGGAGCCGAGGAAUGGACUCCGUGGCUUUUGAGGAUGUGGCUGUGAACUUUACCCAGGAGGAAUGGGCUUUGCUAGAUUCUUCUGAGAAGAAUCUCUCCAGAAAAGUGAUGCAGGAAACCUGCAGGAACCUAGCUUUUGUAGAAAUCAUAUGGUACAGAGACUGUGUGAAAGCAAAGAAGGUAGUCAGUAUGAUGGACAAGUUGUCAGCCAAAUUCCAAAUCUUGAUCUGAAUGAGAACAUUUCUACUGGAUGAAAACAAUGUGAAUGCAGUAUUUGUGGAAAAGUCUUUGUACGUCAUUCCCUCCUUAAUAGGCACAUCCUAGCUCACUCAGGAUACAAACCAUAUGGAGAGAAGCAAUAUAAAUGUGAACAGUGUGGGAAAUUCUUCGUUUCUGUUCCAGGUGUUAGAAGACACAGGAUAAUGCACAGUGGAAAUCCGGCUUAUAAAUGAACGAUAUGUGGUAAAGCUUUUUAUUUUCUCAAUUCAGUUGAAAGACAUCAGAGAAUUCACACAGGAGAAAAACCCUAUCAAUGUAAACAAUGUGGUAAAGCGUUCACUGUUUCCGGUUCUUGUCUAAUACAUGAAUGAACUCACACUGGAGAGAAACCCUACGAAUGUAAGGAAUGUGGGAAAACAUUCAGAUUUUCUUGUUCUUUUAAGACGCAUGAAAGGACUCACACUGGAGAAAGACCCUAUAAAUGUACCAAAUGUGAUAGAGCCUUCAGCUGUUCCACUUCCCUUCAUGACCAUGGAAGCAUUCAUACUGGAGAGAGACCCUAUGAAUGUAAACAAUGUGGCAAAGCCUUUAGUCGUUUGAGUUCCCUUUGUAACCAUAGAAGUAGUCAUACUGGAGAGUAAGCCUAUGAAUGUAAACAAUGUGACCAAGCCUUCAGUCGCCUCAGUUCCCUUCACCUCCACGAAAGAAUUCAUACUGGAGAAAAACCCUAUGAAUGUAAGAGAUGCAGUAAAGCCUACACUCGUUCCAGUCACCUUACUCGCCAUGAAAGAAGUCAUGAUAUAGAUGCUGGGUGUAGUGACUCAGCCUAUAAUCCCAGCACUUUGGGAGGCCAAGGUGUGUGUAUUGCUUGAGCCCAGGAGUUCAUAACCAGCCUGGAUUAAAACAAUAUGAAAUAACCUGGGCAACAUGGUGAAACCCUGUCUCUACAAAAAAUAAAAUACUGCCAGGCACAGUGACUCACGCCAGCUACUCGGGAGGCUGAGGCAGGAGAAUGGCGUGAACCCGGGAGGCGGAGCUUGCAGUGAGCCGAGAUCGCACCACUGCACUCUAGCCUGGGCGACAGAGCAAGACUCCAUCUCAAAUGGGGUGCAUGAGACGCUAUUGAAACCAUUGGCAACGCAACACAAAACGAAUGGACCAGCCCUCAUACAGGACACCUGCUCAACUUGACCUACCUGAUGUCGGCUGACAGUUCCGGAACACAUCAGCAGUCACCUGGGUCAGAACCGUGAGCUGACGAUGGGCCUUCCCUUUGUUCUGCACAGUGUUUUGUGGUCUUCAGCUGUUGUCAUCUUCUCCCACACUAAAAUGCUGUCAUCUCCUAGACAUGAAUGUUUAAUUGCACCCCAGCAUGACAUUUGGCCUGUGCUUAGCGGGCAGUUUUGAGGCCCUGGCUUAUUAAUGCACAAAAGCACAGCACAUAAGCCGACACUUAUGUCCUAAUUAGCAAGAAUCAGGCUGUAUCUCUGUAGUCCCUGCACCUACUCUGGUCACCAUCUCUGUAUGCUUAGGGCAGUCAUGUGAACAUUAUUAGUUAUUGUACACUCCAAGACAAUAGUUACUAUGUAGGCAGAAGUAGUGGCCUUGUUUGUUUCUUGUGCUGCUGCUCCCCUUGCUUCUGUCCCGUACACCCUCCUGAUGAGGUGUACAUCUAUGGUGCCUCACGGUUCAGGCACUGAUGAGUAAAGACAAUGGGAAGAAAGAGUUUGCUAUUAGCCCCUACCGAAGCAUAUGAAGAAGCAUCUCAGCUGGUUUCAUUGAAAAAUUCCUAGCCAGUGUGUGGGCUUUUCUUAUCACUGCUGCUUAUCAGCAUGUCAAAAGUCGAAUCUUCGGACUGCAAGUCUUGCCGGCCUUAGACAUAAUGGCCUUACUGCAUGUGGAGCUAACCCCAGGAAGAUGGAGUGACACUCUUUGGAGGAUUAGGUGGUCUCCUCCAAUGUGGCUUGAUGGGCUCCUGAACUCUUUACUUUAACCGUGCAGAGAGUCCACACUGCCAGUGAUCAUGUGCCACAACUCUAUAGAUGUAGAAACUCAAAAUAUUCAAAACAUUCUGAAACAGUUUCCAUUGAAAGGGAAGAGAAAAGCAGUCAGGUGCCACUCUCCGGUCAAGAGAACUAGUAGAUGGCUCACAAGAACACUCUGUCGCUACUGUCUGUGCCUCUGUCACCACAAAUAUCCUGAUCCUUCAGUUUUAAGGGUGUAGGGCCAUUUUCCUCCCUUUCUUACUGGUAGUUCUCAAGAUAACUGUAUGAUAUGCUGGGAAGGCAAUAUCCUGAUAAUCAGGUGACAUUGGUCAGAACAGCCCAGGCUCUGUUAUAGUCCCUGCUCGAAACAAUGGCCUUUAACGCUUGUGUCCAGCAAACCACAUCCUGGGAGAAAACCCAAGGUGGGCUGCUUUCUGGGGUCCCUCAGUUGUAGUGCAAGUGAAGCAUUUACAGUCAAAACUCCAUCCAUCUGCUCUGGGUAGCCUUCCUGAUCUUGUGGUAGCGGUUCAUAUUGAAUCCUAGACCUCUGUUGUCUUUUGUUUGCUAUUUGUAAGUAAUAAAUUCACUUCAUGGGAUUUAUGUA